rnacentral:rRNA from 1 species
UACGGGGGGAGCAAGCGUUGUUCGGAUUUACUGGGCGUAAAGGGCUCGUAGGCGGCCAACUAAGUCAGAGGUGAAAUCCCCAGGCUCAACCUGGGAACUGCGUCUGAUACUGGAUGGCUUGAAUUCGGGAGAGGGAUGCAGAAUUCCAGGUGUAGCGGUGAAAUGCGUAGAUAUCUGGAGGAAUACCGGUGGCGAAGGCGGCAUCCUGGACCGACAUUGACGCUGAGGAGCGAAAGCUAGGGGAGCAAACGGG